rnacentral:rRNA from 1 species
GGUUUGAUCAUGGCUCAGAUUGAACGCUGGCGGGAUGCUUUACACAUGCAAGUCGAACGGCAGCACGGACUUCGGUCUGGUGGCGAGUGGCGAACAGGUGAGUAAUGUAUCGGAACGUGCCUAGUAGCGGGGGAUAACUACGCGAAAGCGUAGCUAAUACCACAUACGCCCUUCGGGGAAAGCGGGGACCUUCGGAGCCUCGCACUAUUGAAGCGGCCGAUAUCGGAUUAGCUAGUUGGUGGGGUAACGGCUCACCAAGGCGACGAUCCGUAGCUGGUUUGAAGGACGACCAGCCACACUGGGACACGGACAGCCCAGACUCCUACGGGAGGCAGCAGUGGGGAAUUUUUGGACAAUGGGGGAAACCCUGAUCAGCCAUCCCGCGUGUGCGAUGAAGGCCUUCGGGUUGUAAAGCACUUUUGGCAGGAAAGAAACGGCACGGGAUAAUACCCCGUGCAACUGACGGACUUACCCUGCAGAAUAAGCACCGGCUAACUACGUGCCAGCAGCCGCGGUAAUACCUGCGUAGGGUGCAAGCGUUAAUCGGAAUUACUGGGCGUAAAGCGUGCGCAGGCGGUUCGGAAAGAAGAUGUGAAAUCCCAGAGCUUAACUUUGGAACUGCAUUUUUAACUACCGAGCUAGAGUGUGUCAGAGGAGGUGGAAUUCCGCGUGUAGCAGUGAAAUGCGUAGAUAUGCGGAGGAGGAACACCACCGAUGGCGAAGGCAGCCUCCUGGGAUAACACUGACGCGCUCAUGCACGAAAGCGUGGGGGAGCAAACAGGAUUAGAUACCCUGGUAGUCCACGCCUAAACGAUGUCAACUAGCUGUUGGGGCCUUGAGCCAUGGUAGCGCAACUAACGCGUGAAGUUGACCGCCUGGGAAGUACGGUCGCAAGAUUAAAAAUAAAGGAAUUAGGCGGGGACCCGCACAAGCGGUGGAUGAUGUGGAUUAAUUCGAUGCAACGCGAAAAACCUUACCUACCCUUGACAUGUCUGGAAUCCCGAAGAGAUUUGGGAGUGCUCGCAAGAGAACCGGAACACAGGUGCUGCAUGGCUGUAAUCAGCUCGUGUCGUGAGAUGUUGGGUUAAGUCCCGCAACAGGCGCAACCCUUGUCAUUAGUUGCUACGAAAGGGCACUCUAAUGAGACUGCCGGUGACAAACCGGAGGAAGGUGGGGAUGACGUCAAGUCCUCAUGGCCCUUAUGGGUAGGGCUUCACACGUCAUACAAUGGUCGGGACAGAGGGUCGCCAACCCCUUGAGAAACCCGAUCGUAGUCCGGAUCGCAGUCUGCAACUCGACUGCGUGAAGUCGGAAUCGCUAGUAAUCGCGGAUCAGCAUGUCGCGGUGAAUACGUUCCCGGGUCUUGUACACACCGCCCGUCACACCAUGGGAGUGGGUUUUUUACCAGAAGUAGUUAACCUAACCGUAAGGAGGGCGAUUACCACGGUAAGGAUUCAUGACUGGGGUGAAGUCGUAACAAGGUAA